rnacentral:lncRNA from 1 species
GCAGAUUUUCCCAGGGAUUGCUGAGCGCCGCCUAGCCGAGUGCGCGGUUAUUCUGAUUUUUCUCAGGCAACAUCCUAAAAUGUGCUUAUUGUGGUUAGCGUGCGUUAACACACACGUGGACUCUGACUACAGGUAUUUCCUGUUUAAGCCGUCCUGGGACGGGCCGGGAACCAGCUGGCAGGGCUGGUGCAGGAGCCGCGAGCUCAGGGUCCUGCGGUGAGAGGCUGCACCUGACCCAGGCCUGGCUUCCCUGAAACCAGACCCGGAGGACCAGCGCCCGCGCUGCAAGCCCUCAGCGCGAGCAGAAGCUGGUGGCGCCCGAACGUGCGAGCUGCGCAACUCCAGCGCUCGCUCCGGCCCUGCUCAGCGCCGCGGGACCCGCCCCGGGUGGGUGGGGGGGCUGCCAGGCUGCGGGUCUGCCCAGUGUCACGGCCCCGCCGUACCGGGGCAACUGGCCCCUGCUGUGCCAGCCCCACUGUCCUAAAAUAGAUCUUUUCUGGGCGUCCUCUCCACGCCCGCGAUGGCGAUGUGGAGGAUGCAGAGUUCACAGGGUCCCGUUGAGGACCCAGGAGAAUGAGCAGAGAAAGCUGCGGAGGUGGAAGGGCAGAAGCCAGGGCCUACUUGUUAGCAAGGCGAAGACUCCAGUGGCGAGUUUAUGCACAAAGCAAUCGACCCAUUGCAUGUCCAGAAGGUCAAUAUUAAAAAGCAAUAUGGAACUUACUUGGAAUGCCUUUGCUAUUUCACCACUUCAAAUGUUGACCGUUGAUUGAAGUAGAUAUUCUUUGUGCGGAAGGUAAUACCCUUCUGAGUCCGGAGCCACACAAUAAAGCUUCAGUCAAGGACAGAUCACACAGUAAAGCUUCAAUGAAGGACAUAGAUGAUGAUGGUGAGUGUUAUGGUGUGUGUCUAGAUAUCCCUCCAAAACCUCAUGCAGUCAGAGUUUGCAGUCAGAGUUUUUUCGUUUGUUUGCUUACUUCUGUUUUAUUCUGUUUUGUUUUUCACAGGUGGUUGAACCUAGCGUGUGCAGUGCUGGGAUUAGAGGUGGGUGGUUGCUGGAUACUGACUGGAUUGGCACCACUCUAAUCCAGGCAGUCUGGAUAAGAUAAAAUAGACAGAAAGCGGCUCUCUCCUUGCUCCUUACUUCUGCUGUCUUCCACCACCAUGAGCUUUUGCCCCUCUGUCAUGUACCCCCUGCCUUGGAGCCAGCCAAUAUGGACUGAAACCUCUACACACUGUGAGCUAAGUAAAUCUCCCCACUUUUAUUGGAUGUUGUCUCAGCAGGGCAAAAAGAUCACAUGAUGUAGUGAUGUUGUAGGUUUCUUAAUUUGUGAAAGUGUACUCUAUGGUGUUGGUACAAUAAAAUUGCCUAAGGAUGCUUUCCUCUGAUCUUCUGCAAGUUAAGUGAUGUAUUUUAUUUCACUAGCAAUUUGGGUUGAUGUUGUUAAUUUGUUUGUUUGGUUGUUGUUUGUUUUAAUUAUUAACGCUGCUGAAUAUUAAUACAAAGGGAUUCUUUCAGUGUAUUUUUCUUUUGAUUAAUCAAUAUGAUGGAUUAUAUAAAUAAAUUUUUUAUCAUUGAGAAUUUACCAUUAAGUUAUUCCCAACCCUUUUCCAUUUUUAUUCUGUUUUGAAGACAGUAUCUUACUAAGUUGCCCAAAUAAGUGACAAAGUUGGAGCAGGUAUUCUGGAGUUGCGGAUCACUGAAUUUGAAAAAUAAUUGUAGUCUAUUGACAUAAUUUUUAAAAACAAGCUCUAAAAUUGAUCCUGAAUCAUUGCACUUAAAAAAGAAGAAAGUCUAAGGUGUGCCAUAAGAGUAAAUUGCAUGGGGCUGGUAAUUUAGCUCAGUGGCAUAAGCACCUGCCUUGCAAGUGGGGCGGUCACCAGUUCGAUCUCUGGUAGCAAUUAAAAAAAAAAAAGAGUAAAUUGCACAUUAGAUUUUGAAGUUUUAGUACCAA